rnacentral:lncRNA from 1 species
UUUCGAAUCCACGAAAUGGCUUGCGUGUUCGUCUUCCAUCUAGCAGCACAAGUACUACAUUCCUUUCUGUACGCCACUCACUUCCUGACCCUAUGACACUGGUCUUGGCGAAUGUGUCCACGACCUAAACACAUGCUAACGAUGAGGGGUGCGACUCGGCAAAUGCGCGGUGAAUACC